AGAGCGAACGCUGGCGGCAGGCCUAAUACAUGCAAGUCGAGCGCACCUUCGGGUGAGCGGCGGACGGGUGAGUAACGCGUGGGAACGUGCCCUUUGGUACGGAACAACUGAGGGAAACUUCAGCUAAUACCGUAUGUGCCCUUCGGGGGAAAGAUUUAUCGCCAUUGGAGCGGCCCGCGUUGGAUUAGCUAGUUGGUAGGGUAAAAGCCUACCAAGGCUACGAUCCAUAGCUGGUCUGAGAGGAUGAUCAGCCACACUGGGACUGAGACACGGCCCAGACUCCUACGGGAGGCAGCAGUAGGGAAUCUUGCGCAAUGGGCGAAAGCCUGACGCAGCCAUGCCGCGUGAAUGAUGAAGGUCUUAGGAUUGUAAAGCCCUUUCGACGGGGACGAUGAUGACGGUACCGUAGAAGAAGCCCGGCUAACUCGUGCCAGCAGCCGC
rnacentral:rRNA from 1 species